rnacentral:SRP_RNA from 1 species
ACCAGCCACAGUGGUAUGCCUGUAGUCCCAGCUACUUGGGAGGCUGAGGCAGGAGGAUCACCUGAGUCUAGGAGUUCUGGGCUGUAGUGUACUAUGCCAGUCAGGUGUCCACACUCAGUUUGGCAUCAAUAUGCUGACCUUCUGGGAGCAUGGGACCACCAGGUUGCCUAAGGAGAAGUGAACUGGCCCAGGUGGAAACGGAACAGGUCAAAACUCCCAUGCUGAUCAGUAGUGGGAUUGCACCUGUGAACAGCAACCGCACUCCAGUCGGCAACAUAGCAAGAUUUGUCUCU